AACGAACGCUGGCGGCAUGCCUAACACAUGCAAGUCGAACGAUGCCUUCGGGCAUAGUGGCGCACGGGUGCGUAACGCGUGGGAAUCUGCCCUUGGCUUCGGAAUAACAGUUAGAAAUGACUGCUAAUACCGGAUGAUGUCCCCCUGAGAGAUCUUGGGGACCAAAGAUUUAUCGGCCAGGGAUGAGCCCGCGUAGGAUUAGGUAGUUGGUGGGGUAAAGGCCUACCAAGCCGACGAUCCUUAGCUGGUCUGAGAGGAUGAUCAGCCACACUGGGACUGAGACACGGCCCAGACUCCUACGGGAGGCAGCAGUGGGGAAUAUUGGACAAUGGGGGGAACCCUGAUCCAGCAAUGCCGCGUGAGUGAUGAAGGCCUUAGGGUUGUAAAGCUCUUUUACCAGGGAUGAUAAUGACAGUACCUGGAGAAUAAGCUCCGGCUAACUCCGU
rnacentral:rRNA from 1 species